rnacentral:rRNA from 1 species
AUACGUAGGGGGCAAGCGUUAUCCGGAUUCAUUGGGCGUAAAGCGCUCGUAGGCGGUCUGUUAGGUCGGGAGUUAAAUCCGGAGGCUCAACCUCCGUUCGCUCCCGAUACCGGCAGACUUGAGUUUGGUAGGGGAAGGUGGAAUUCCUAGUGUAGCGGUGGAAUGCGCAGAUAUUAGGAAGAACACCAGUGGCGAAGGCGGCCUUCUGGGCCAUAACUGACGCUGAGAAGCGAAAGCUAGGGGAGC